rnacentral:lncRNA from 1 species
UGGAAGGUAGCCAUGAGCCCCUUGUGGCUGCUAGAACACAUGAAAUGUGGCUAGUAUGAUUGAGGAACUGAAUCUUUCCUUUCAUUUUAAUUAAUUUAAAUUUAAAUGGCCACAUGUGGCUAGUGGCUACCAUAUUGGACAGCACAGCUCUAGAUGCAUUUCAGUGUUAUUCCCAUGAGAUUCCCAAAUAAACUUCCUGCAUGCAAAUCUCCAUCUCAGCAUCUGUUUCCCUGAGGAGGAACCAACCUAAAAUGAAUUGCAAAUUAAAAUCUCAAAGUGAGUCAAAGCAACCAGAAUUUCCCUUCCCAAGAUCAAAACAUGUGGCGACCUGAUCCCCAUUCUUAGUGGGCUGGAGGUGUGUACUUUAUCUCACAUUAAAUAGUGCAUAUGCCUUCCAUUUAUCUGAGUCUCCAACAUUUCCUAUAAUAUGCAUACCUGACCUAUUUCAUUCAUUCAAGUUACCUGGUUAAUCUCUUUAGACUUUUGAUACUGCAACUACUGGCACAAGUUAAAGAAGGACCGUUGGGUGACUUCACUAAACCUACUUAGUGUACACAGUUUCUCACAUGGAGCCCUAUUCUUAACAUUUUAUUUAGAACUGGGCAACCAAAUUCUGGCUGGUAUGGAGUGCCUGAGCAGUAGUGCACAAAGAGGAGACACAGAAAAACAAAUACUCCAUGGUCUUCCAAAAGUAUUCUAUGGAGCUAGGUUUCUCCAGGUAAGAUUGGUACAAUGUGCCAGGAGCCACUCCAAGCUACAAAAGAUUGUGGCAGCUGAUCUCUUGGAUGAUUAUUUUUAUUCAUUGAGGAGUCACUUAAAACAUGAUUUUCAUAUUAAAGUAUUAUCAUAUGCAAAAUUCGAAUACUAGAUAAAGUAUGAAAUUUCAGAGACAUUUUGUCAUUUGUAACAGAGAAUCCAGGUUUGCAAACUUUUGCAUACUUUUGGUGGGUAUUUUGCUGGCAACGUUUGAGGAGCAUUACUAGAUUUCCACAAACUCUAAAUUAUUUUAAGUUGUAUCUCCCGUGACCUAAACCUCUCCUGAAUCUCUUCUUGGAAGCCUUACAAGCACAAGGGUAUGUGUCCAAUGAAGAAGUAAAUCCUAAUUAAGAUUAUUCCCACCAAAAUUAAGCAACUCUUCAUUUGAAAUAUUGUUUUUUAAAUGAUCUCCAACACACUAAUUCAGCAUAAUGUCUUCGGUUAUGGACACAUGUCUGGAGUCAGAUUGCCUGGGCUCUCUAUCACUCAAUAGCUGUAUGAUCUUGAAUGAGUAACUUAACCUCCAUGGGCUCCAAUGUCUUCAUAGGUUCUUCAUAAUAUUGUUAAGAGGUUUAAAUGUGUCAACAUUUGUAAGGCAUCUAGAAUAAUAUGUGAUAAAUAGCAAGUGGUACAAAUCUUCCUAUGGGGAAUGCUAAAGUUUUUUUUCUAAAGCUUUGUUUUCAGGUGGAAGAAAUAUGACCAUUCACAUAAUAAGCUUUAUGACCUCAUCCUGAGGUGGUAAUCUUGGGUAAAAUAUAUCUAUCAACCAACCCUCUAGUGACCCAACCUUUAGUUUAGCAUUAAAGGGAAAGGAAAGUACUGAAAAAUGAGGACCAACUCUCAACAACUAUUUAAGUGUGUUUUGACAUCUCAAAAAGCAGUAGCAAAGCAAAGAGAAAGAAAGAAAGAAAAGAAAAAAAGAAGGAAGGAAGGAGGAAGGAAGGAAGGAAGGAAGAAAGAAAAAAGAAAGAAAGGGAAAAGAAAAGAAAAGAAAGAGAGAGG